AUUCUCAAAAAACAGCUCUGUUAUCUGUUAAUCAACUCAAGAGGAAAAAAAAAAUUAAAAAUAAAAAUCAGACGGCCAGAAACGUUUCUCGUCUGCAAUAUCAAAAUCGAUUAUCUAAAAAGCAAUAGUUAAGCUAAAAUUGUCUCCAUCGAUAAGAACCAAAAUCACCUCGAGAUCACUCCGGAGAAAACGAAAACAUGGAGAACUAAA
rnacentral:misc_RNA from 1 species